rnacentral:rRNA from 1 species
UACAGAGCCUGCAAGCGUUCUUCGGAUUCACUGGGCGUAAAGGGUGCGCAGGCGGCCGGGUGUGUCAGAUGUGAAAUCCCGAGGCUCAACCUCGGAACUGCGUCUGAAACUACUCGGCUAGAGUACUGGAGAGGGUAACGGAAUUCACGGUGUAGCAGUGAAAUGCGUAGAUAUCGUGAGGAACACCAGAGGCGAAGGCGGUUACCUGGACAAUUGCUGACGCUCAGGCACGAAAGCGUGGGGAGCAAAAGGG